UAGGGAAUCUUCCACAAUGGACGCAAGUCUGAUGGAGCAACGCCGCGUGAGUGAAGAAGGUUUUCGGAUCGUAAAGCUCUGUUGUUGGUGAAGAAGGAUAGAGGCAGUAACUGGUCUUUAUUUGACGGUAAUCAACCAGAAAGUCACGGCUAACUACGUGCCAGCAGCCGCGGUAAUACGUAGGUGGCAAGCGUUGUCCGGAUUUGUUGGGCGUAAAGCGAGCGCAGGCGGAAUGAUAAGUCUGAUGUGAAAGCCCACGGUUAAACCGUGGAACUGCAUCGGAAACUGUCAUUCUUGAGUGCAGAAGAGGAGAGUGGAAUUCCAUGUGUAGCGGUGGAAUGCGUAGAUAUAUGGAAGAACACCAGUGGCGAAGGCGGCUCUCUGGUCUGCAACUGACGCUGAGGCUCGAAAGCAUGGGUAGCGAACAGG
rnacentral:rRNA from 1 species